GAUGAACGCUGGCGGCGUGCCUAAUACAUGCAAGUCGAGCGGUAAGGCCUCUUCGGAGGUACACGAGCGGCGGACGGCUGAGUAACGCGUAGGAACGUACCCCAAACUGAGGGAUAAGCACCAGAAAUGGUGUCUAAUACCGCAUGUGCUCUUCGGAGUAAAGCUACGGCGGUUUGGGAACGGCCUGCGUCCGAUUAGCUUGUUGGUGAGGUAAUGGCUCACCAAGGCGACGAUCGGUAGCUGGUCUGAGAGGAUGAUCAGCCAGACUGGGACUGAG
rnacentral:rRNA from 1 species